UUAUGCCAAAGCUAGUUGGGUCUCUUCUAAAUAUCAUAGAAGAUGCUAUAACAAUAAAGAAAUCAAAACAAAAACCUACAAAAUUUGCAUUGCAAACAAUGAAUGUCUGCCCUCAUAAAAAAUAUAUGUCAGCAAUAUAAGUUGUAUGAGUUUGCAUAAGUAAGAAUUAAAAUCUUUGUUAAGAUUUUGUGUUCUUGAAGCCCCAAACUUUGACAAAUAAUCUCUGUAAAUUGUUUCUGGUUAACUAUCCUAAAAUCAUGGAUGAUCACUAAAAUUUCAGCAAGCACAAAGAAAAGUGUCAAGAAUUAGAAUAAAAUUAUAUUUAUUGAAACUUAAAUAUAUUGGUAAUACAUGGAUAUAUUUAUACUAGAUUACUAAACAACCAAAUCUUAUAAGUACUCAUAUAUAACUAAAUCCAUACUAGUACUUAUAUAUAACUAAAUCCCUACUAGUACUCCUAUAUAACCGAACCGAAUCCCUAUAUUUGAGGGAUAUUAAACAUAAACAUAUUUUGACAAAAAAUAUGACAUAAUAUAAGCCAUAAAGAUAGAGUACUAGAAAAAAGAGAAAUAUGAGUUCCAAAAAUAAAAAGAGAGACAUAUGAAUUAGCAUAUUUAAUUUUUGUUUUAUUUAUCCAUACACGCCAAUGCAUUGUGUUCCAUAUAAGCCUUUUGAAGCAGACGAAUAACCAUUUUAUUUAUUCAUUGAAUCUUUCAUACCAAGAAUAAAUGUGAGCACUCAAUUGCUGCAACCAUGUUCCAUGAUGCUAUUGCCACUUCGUAUAGAAUCCAAGGUAAUCAUCACUCCCCCAACAUCAUACACUGCAAUGAAAAGAGCCAAGGACCAAAGCACAUAGGAAAAUAGAAAUUACAAAAUUAGAUUGAUGAUCGCUUUACACUAAAUAUCAAAUCUUUUAGCUAUGUGCUUUCACCUCGAAAUGCUUCCCAUCGAUCAUGUCGUGUCUUUACCUAUAUGAAUAAAUUUUUGAAUUUAGAUAUUUCUUUUAUGUUGUGAAAACUAUAUGUUCAAAAAUAAUGUUUACUCAAUUUUACUUUUUGAAUGUAAGUUCACGAAAAUUAUUUUACUCAUUCUUUUAUAAUUCAAGAUAUUUUAUAGAUAUAAAGUAUCUAUUAUUAGAGGUAGUUACAAUUACUUAUGGUUAUGUAGAAAUUGUUAAGUUAAAAGUGCAUCAUAUUCUAAUUAAAAAAAUAAUUAUUCAUAUAAUUAUUUUGUUUUAUUUUUCUAUUUAAUUAUUUAAUUUUUUUUUAACCAUGAUUCUUAACAUCUAUCGUCUUUAAGUGGUUGUUAAUCUCAGUCAUCUUAAUUCUUAUAAAACUACAUAAUUUAUCAAUGAAAAAAAACUAUAAUUUAUUGUAGAAAUUAUAAGUUCUAUAAUUCAAAUACAUGGAAUCAUUCAAAACUUAAUCAGAACAAAAAAUUGAAGGAAAAGAAAUAAAUUGCUAAUUCAAUCUUUGAGAUUUUAAAGGUUAUAAAUUUAGUUUGAAAAUAUUUUUUCAAAGAAUCUAAUUUAAAAAUAAUUAGAAUAAUCUAUAAAACUAUUUAAUGGAGACUGAUGUGAUUAAAAAUUAGUCAAAAAGAUAUCAAAAUUGACAGCACCAUAAAAAAGAAGACCUUUCGUUGUAGUGUCAAGACGACGGUUUUCCGGCGGCGUCAAGUAAGAGACGGUGAUCAUAGAGCGAAGUUAUCAGUCUGUGACGGUGAUAAUAGAGCGGCGUCAAGUAAGAGUAAAACUAAUUAAUGGAGACUGAUGUGAUUAAAAAUUAGCCAAAAAGAUAUCAAAAUUGACAGCACCAUAAAAAAGAAGACCUUUCGUUGUAGUGUCAAGACGACGGUUUUUCCGGCGGUGUCAAGUAAGAGACGGUGAUCAUAGAGCGAAGUUAUCAGUCUGUGACGGUGAUAAUAGAGCGGCGUCAAGUAAGAGACGGUGACCAUUAAUGUCUGUGACUGUGAAGUUAUCAGUUCAUGUCGUCACCUUUCUCACAAUCGCUUAGGUCUACAAAAUGUGGUAUGCGAUACUGAGGGCCAAUGAUACUGCUCUCGUGUCUCUUUUGCAUGAUUCUUGAAGGUAAGGGAGAUAUUGGUUAGUAUGUGAAAGUGAAAGCUAGCGUUAUACAUAUGGAUACAAUGCUAAAAUUUAUUAUAUAUUUAUAUGAUUGUUUAUUUGUUUGUGUUUGCUUGCGUGUCCCCAAGGGUAUAUAUGAAACGGUC
rnacentral:lncRNA from 1 species